ACACUCUGUACUGUGCUACCGGUUGGUACACAAAUGAAUAUACUUAGUUGUCACUCACGUCAUGAUAGAGCACAUGUCAUUUGCAGCCACGAGGCAAAGAGAAAGCCGAAGAGAGAGCCAGACGACUGUCUCCUAGUACUUGUACGUCGGUCAUUUUGAUAACUACUCAACGCUGCCCAGCACAAGAUUCAGCAUUCAAUUACUCUCAUAAUUUUAUUGUCAUUUCAUCUUUUAUGGGGGACGCCCCACUCUUAAUUUUUAUUACUGAAUGGCUGCUGACGUACGUAUAUAUAAGAGCACUACAAGAUACGACAGGAAAGGGAUGGUGCUAUGAUUCUUAGCCCAGCUUUCUGAUCGAGGAGGAGAUAAUCUGUUAUUGGCUAUUGGCUCUGAGUGAUGGAGUGGAUCUACCUCUGAGAGCCAGUUACUGUAUCAUGCAGUGUAUGUGAUUUUCUGACAGGAAAGGCUACUCUAAACAGAGGGAGUCGGCCACACAAGGUAUAGUCUAAUAAUUAUUGUACAGUACUAGAUGAUCUUCUCUGUUUUGGGUCAGAUGCAAUUGCCUUGAAUCACUAGCCGGUUUAAAACAUUUCUUCUACUCUUGGCUUAAGAAAUUAUUGUACCAGCAUUAGGUAGUUAACUCCACUUAUGCAUUGACCUCUACUACCGUGUAGCGGGAAAGUUCGUUAUUUGAGCCCUAGAGAAAUGUUGUUCACAUUUCAAUGCCAGGAAACCAAUAGCUUUGCAUGUGAAAUACUGGUGCGUGGGAGUGUCUUCCAUUUAUAUUACAUGAAGUGUGAAGUGUGUUGUAAGUUUGUACAGAGAGGACUCCCAUGGUGGCAAUGAAUGUAUGGCAAUGAUCUGAUGAUGGCUCCACUGCUCUGAUGGACCAAUGCAGGAGAAGUUAUUCUGUAUAAUUAUUACACUAAAUUAAUGUAUGCCACUGUUUGGAUCGGUUUCUGUUCUGCUCAGCUUCUUCCUCCAACUUGCUUACGCAGGCUAAGCUUAUUCUUAGUUCAUUCUUAGUUCAUUCUAUAGUCUAGUAUUAUUGUCGGUUUGGUUGUUUGAUGUUUUUCACCUGGUCAUACGGAAUCACUUCAUUAUUAUCAGUGCAGACCACACCUCUAUCCACACAUUGUAUCUGCACAUCCUGUAUAUAAUUAUGGGGCCACACCCCCACUCACUGUACUGAUAUGUGGUCACACCCCCAUACAUGGUAACCCUCUUGACCACACCCCCACCCAUGCAUUGUGUCGUACAUGCUGUGUUUUUGUGUACAGUACACACAUCAUCCGUGUCUUUAUCCCCACACCUAGUCGGAGGGAGCAGCAAGUUCUACUAAGAGCCAGCAUCACCAACUAACCAACACUACAAAACCUACCUACUACCAGCUAGGACAGCACACCACCCGGGACAGAUCUACUAUCUCAGGCAGUGUAUGUGAUUUUCUGACAGGAAAGGCUACUCUAAACAGAGGGAGUCGGCCACACAAGGUAUAGUCUAAUAAUUAUUGUACAGUACUAGAUGAUCUUCUCUGUUUUGGGUCAGAUGCAAUUGCCUUGAAUCACUAGCCAGUUUAAAACAUUUCUUCUACUCUUGGCUUAAGAAAUUGUAUUUUAUUAUUGUACCAGUAUUAGGUAGUUAACUCCACUUAUGCAUUGACCUCUACUACUGUGUAGCGGGAAAGUUCAUUAUUUGAGCCCUCGAGAAAUGUUGUAUAGUUGUUCUCAUUUCAAUGCCAGGAAACCAUAGCUUUGCAUGGUGCGUGGGAGUGUCUUCUAUUUUUAUUACGUGAAGUGUGAAGUGUGUUGUAAGUUUGUACAGAGAGGACUCCCAUGGUGGCAAUGAUCUGAUGAUGGCUCCACUGCUCUGAUGGACCAAUGCAGGAGAAGUUAUUCUGUAUAAUUAUCACACUAAAUUAAUGUAUGCCACUGUUUGGAUCGGUUUCUGUUCUGCUCAGCUUCUUCCUCCAACUUGCUUACGCAGGCUAAGCUUAUUCUUAAUUAGUUCAUUCUUAGUUCAUUCUAUAGUCUAGUAUAUUGUCGGUUUGGUUGUUUUAUGUUUUUCACCUGGUCAUACGGAAUCACUUCAUUAAUUUUUAUACAGUGCAGACCACACCUCUAUCCACACAUUGUACCUGCACAUCCUGUAUAUAUGGGGCCACACCCCCACUCACUGUACUGAUAUGUGGUCACACCCCCAUACAUGGUAACCCUCUUGACCACACCUCCACCCAUGCAUUGUGUCGUACAUGCUGUGUUUUUGUGUACAGUACACACAUCAUCCGUGUCUUUGUCCCCACACCUAGUCGGAGGGAGCAGCAAGUUUUACUAAGAGCCAGCAUCACCAACUAACCAACACUACAAAACCUACCUACUACCAGCUAGGACAGCACACCACCCGGGACAGACUCUACUAUACCAUGUAAUACGCCUUUGUAUUACGAUCAUGAUACAAUUUGCUGCCCUCCCUCGCCAAUGGAUUGAAUAAUUAUGGACACUCGCAGGAGACUGACACACAAUAAUAGACACCAAAGGGCCAGUUACUGUAUCAUGUACGGAUAUUCUGUUGCUUGUACAUUUCGUAACAUUAUCAGUAAUUGACUGUAGAGUAGCUCCCCUUUCUUCAUCACUCAAUGCAGGCAGUGUAUGUGAUUUUCUGACAGGAAAGGCUACUCUAAACAGAGGGAGUCGGCCACACAAGGUAUAGUCUAAUAAUUAUUGUACGGUACUUAGAUGAUCUUCUCUGUUUUGGGUCAGAUGCAAUUGCCUUCAAUCACUAGCCAGUUUAAAACAUUUCUUCUACUCUUGGCUUAAGAAAUUGUAUUUUAUUAUUGUACCAGCAUUAGGUAGUUAACUCCACUUAUGCAUUGACCUCUACUACUGUGUAGCGGGAAAGUUCGUUAUUUGAGCCCUCGAGAAAUGUUGUAUAGUUGUUCUCAUUUCAAUGCCAGGAAACCAUAGCUUUGCAUGGUGCGUGGGAGUGUCUUCCAUUUAUAUUACAUGAAGUGUGAAGUGUGUUGUAAGUUUGUACAGAGAGGACUCCCAUGGUGGCAAUGAUCUGAUGAUGGCUCCACUGCUCUGAUGGACCAAUGCAGGAGAAGUUAUUCUGUAUAAUUAUUACACUAAAUUAAUGUAUGCCACUGUUUGGAUCGGUUUCUGUUCUGCUCAGCUUCUUCCUCCAACUUGCUUACGCAGGCUAAGCUUAUUCUUAGUUCAUUCUUAGUUCAUUCUAUAGUCUAGUAUUAUUGUCGGUUUGGUUGUUUUAUGUUUUUCACCUGGUCAUACGGAAUCACUUCAUUAAUUUUUAUACAGUGCAGACCACACCUCUAUCCACACAUUGUACCUGCACAUCCUGUAUAUAUGGGGCCACACCCCCACUCACUGUACUGAUAUGUGGUCACACCCCCAUACAUGGUAACCCUCUUGACCACACCUCCACUCAUGCAUUGUGUCGUACAUGCUGUGUUUUUGUGUACAGUACACACAUCAUCCGUGUCUUUAUCCCCACACCUAGUCGGAGGGAGCAGCAAGUUCUACUAAGAGCCAGCAUCACCAACUAACCAACACACUACAACACCUACCUACUACCAGGUAGGACAGCACACCACCCAGGACAGACUCUACUAUACCAUGUAAUACGCCUUUGUAUUACGAUCAUGAUACAAUUUGCUGCCCUCCCUCGCCAAUGGAUUGAAUAAUUAUGGACACUCGCAGGACAACUAAGAGACUGACACACAAUAAUAGACACCAAAGGCAGUGUAUGUGAUUUUCUGACAGGAAAGGCUACUCUAAACAAAGGGAGUCGGCCACACAAGUCGGAGGGAGCAGCAAGUUCUACUAAGAGCCAGCAUCACCAACUAACCAACACUACAAGACCUACCUACUACCAGCUAGGACAGCACACCACCCGGGACAGACUCUACUAUACCAUGUAAUACGCCUUUUUAUUACGAUCAUGAUACAAUUUGCUGCCCUCCCUUGCCCAUGGAUUGAAUAAUUAUGGACACUCGCAGGACAACUAAGAGACUGACACACAAUAAUAGACACCUAACUGCAUUUUUGCCAUUAAUAUAAUAAAAAUAAUUUUGCCAUUAA